UUACCAACAGGGAUUGCCCUAGUAACGGCGAGUGAAGGGGCAACAGCUCAAAUUUGAAAUCUGGCUCUCGGGCCCGAGUUGUAAUUUGUAGAGGAUACUUUUGAUGCGGUGCCUUCCGAGUUCCCUGGAACGGGACGCCAUAGAGGGUGAGAGCGCCGUCUGGUUGGAUGCCAAAUCUCUGUAAAGUUCCUUGAACGAGUCGAGUAGUUUGGGAAUGCUGCUCUAAAUGGGAGGUAUAUGUCUUCUAAAGCUAAAUACCGGCCAGAGAGCCAUAGCGCACAAGUAGAGUGAUCGUAAGAUGAAAUGCACUAUGAAUAGAGAGUUAAAUCGUACGUGAAAUUGUUGAAAGGGAAGCGUUUAUGACCAGACUUGGGCUUGGUUAAUCAUCUGGGGUUCUCCCCAGUGCACAAUUCCAGUCCAGGCCAGCAUCAGUUUUCGCCGGGGGAUAAAGGCCGCGGGAAUGUGGCUCUCAUCGGGGAGUGUUAUAGCCCACCGUGUAAUACCCUGGCCGGGACUGAGGUUCGCGCAUCUGCAAGGAUGCUCGCGUAUUGGUGAUCAACGACCCGUCUUGAAACACGGACCAUGGAGUCGUCUUGGUAUGCGAGUGUUCGGGUGACAAACCCCUACGCGUAAUGAAAGUGAACGCAGGUGAGAGCUUCGGCGCAUCAUCGACCGAUCCUGAUGUUCUCGGAUGGAAUUGAGUAAGAGCAUACGGGGACGCAGCCGAAAGAAGGUGAACUAUGCCUGUAUAGGCUGAAGCCAGAGGAAACUCUGGUGGAGGCUCGCAGCGGUUCUGACGUGCAAAUCGAUCGUCAAAUAUGGCCC
rnacentral:rRNA from 1 species